rnacentral:rRNA from 1 species
GUGUCAGCAGCCGCGGUAAUACGGAGGUGGCAAGCGUUGUUCGGAAUUACUGGGCGUAAAGGGCGCGUAGGCGGCUAGGCAAGUCAGGUGUGAAAGCCCCGGGCUUAACUCGGGAACUGCAUCUGAAACUGCCUUGCUUGAGUCCUGGAGGGGGUAGUGGAAUUCCCAGUGUAGCGGUGAAAUGCGUAGAUAUUGGGAGGAACACCGGUGGCGAAGGCGGCUACCUGGACAGUGACUGACGCUGAUGCGCGAAAGCUAGGGGAGCGAACGGGAUUAGAUACCCUCGUAGUCC